UCCUGCAGCUCCUUAGGCUAAGAACUCACUUUAAUUUCUGAAUUCUCCCUUUUUAAAGACCAGAUAAAUUUACCUCUGGGACAGUUAGAUGUGCACAAAUGUACCAUAUGUUUAAAGAUCACCAAAGAGGAGAGAAAAGGGGAUUCCUUAGUCCAGAGAACAAAAACUGCAGGAGGCUGGAGCUGAGACGUGGGCAUCCCUGCAGCUGGGGCCUAUGCUCCCAGGCACUCCUGGCAUCUCUGGCUGGUUCACUUCUCCCUGGUUCAGACAGAUCAGGAGUGGAAACACCUGAAUGUGUUCAAGGACGAGAUGACAAUCAAGGACUGGCUCGAUGGCUGUGGACUGAGUUAUAUUUCUUUUCAAGGUGAGAGGAAGCCUACUCAAUAUGAAGAUGAGGAUGAAGACCUUGAUGAUGAUCCACCUUCCCUUAAUGAAGAGUAAAAUACAUGUUCUCUU